rnacentral:tRNA from 1 species
GGCCUGAUGGUCUAGUAGUAUGAUUCCUUCUUAGGGCUUUAAGCAAUCUGGAGGAGGUCCCGGGUUCAAUUCCCGGUUAGGCCC